UAAGGCGCGGUCAGGGUAGACUGCACAAGCUAACAGCAGCAGCAGCAGCAACAGCAACAACGACGCUGUGUGUGAGAUCAGCGGCGAAUUGAAAGCGUUGGAGCAGCCGCAGAGGCAACAGCUUCCUCUUUAUAUGCACCCGUCUCCAUAUAUCUUCUACGCUCUUGCAUGUGGUUUAUUGCAUAACAUCCUUGAACUUGAACCGAGCUUUGGGUCGCUUUUCGCACUGGCUGCGCUCUAACUGACUCAGCGAGGCAUACACACGCACACAAAUGCACAUUCAAUUUCGCCGUAGCUGAAAUUUUUUAAGAAUCGCCGCAAAAGCAUUCGGCUACACGAAGCUUAACGAGCCGACAGUAGCCAGCAGCGAAUGACGGCGACGUCGCGUCGUCGAAGGCUUGUUUAGCGGGCCAUUUUUGCUGCGCUUGGCAUUGAAAGCGCGACAGGCGAGCAGCGAACAACGUACCAUUCCCAAACAGUCUCACACAAUAAUCGCUGCACACUGGCAACAGGAGUCAAAUACUAUAUAAAAAAUAA